rnacentral:rRNA from 1 species
GACGAACGCUGGCGGCGUGCUUAACACAUGCAAGUCGAACGGAAAGGCCCUGCUUUUGUGGGGUGCUCGAGUGGCGAACGGGUGAGUAACAAGUGAGUAACCUGCCCUUGACUUUGGGAUAAAUUCAGGAAACUGGGGCUAAUACCGGAUAGGAGCUCCUGCUGCAUGGUGGGGGGUGGAAAGUUUCGGCGGUUGGGGAUGGACUCGCGGCUUAUCAGCUUGUUGGUGGGGUAGUGGCUUACCAAGGCUUUGACGGGUAGCCGGCCUGAGAGGGUGACCGGCCACAUUGGGACUGAGAUACGGCCCAGACUCCUACGGGAGGCAGCAGUGGGGAAUAUUGCACAAUGGGCGGAAGCCUGAUGCAGCAACGCCGCGUGCGGGAUGACGGCCUUCGGGUUGUAAACCGCUUUCGCCUGUGACGAAGCGUGAGUGACGGUAAUGGGUAAAGAAGCACCGGCUAACUACGUG